rnacentral:rRNA from 1 species
AUUGAACGCUGGCGGCGUGCCUAACACAUGCAAGUCGAACGCGAAAGUCUCUUCGGAGAUGAGUAGAGUGGCGCACGGGUGAGUAACGCGUGGAUAAUCUACCUAUUGGUACGGGACAACAGUUGGAAACGACUGCUAAUACCGUAUAAGCUGGAAACGGGAAAGGGGGCCUCUUCUUGAAAGCUCUCGCCAGUAGAUGAGUCCGCGUUUCAUUAGCUAGACGGUGGGGUAACGGCCUACCGUGGCAACGAUGAAUAGCAGGCCUGAGAGGGUGGCCUGCCACACUGGGACUGGAACACGGCCCAG